UACGAAGGGGGCUAGCGUUGUUCGGAAUUACUGGGCGUAAAGGGCGCGUAGGCGGUCCUGAUCGUCGGAUGUGAAAGGCCUGGGCUCAACCUGGGAACUGCAUCCGAUACGGCGGGACUGGAGUGUGGGAGAGGUUGGUGGAAUUCCCAGUGUAGAGGUGAAAUUCGUAGAUAUUGGGAAGAACACCGGUGGCGAAGGCGGCCAACUGGACCACAACUGACGCUGAGGCGCGAAAGCGUGGGGAGCAGACAGG
rnacentral:rRNA from 1 species